UACGUAGGCAGCGAGCGUUGUUCGGAGUUACUGGGCGUAAAGGGUGUGUAGGCGGUUCUUUAAGUUUGGUGUGAAAUCUCCCGGCUCAACCGGGAGGGUGCGCCGAAUACUGAGGGACUAGAGUACGGGAGAGGAAAGUGGAAUUCCUGGUGUAGCGGUGAAAUGCGUAGAUAUCAGGAGGAGCACCGGUGGUGUAGACGGCUUUCUGGACCGUAACUGACGCUGAGACACGAAAGCGUGGGUAGCAAACAGG
rnacentral:rRNA from 1 species